rnacentral:ribozyme from 1 species
UGCCCAGCAACUCCUAUCCCUACCUCCAAGUGGCACCGGCCGGGCUGCGAGCAACCUUAGGGAAGAUCAGGUAACUAACCCCGGUGGGAAUUUUGGUCAUAGGCUUACAGGGAAGG